GACGUAGGGGGCAAGCGUUGUUCGGAAUCACUGGGCGUAAAGGGCGCGUAGGCGGGAUGGCAAGUCGGUCGUGAAAUCCUUCGGCUCAACCGAAGAACGUCGGCCGAUACUGCCGUUCUUGAGGGAUGCAGAGGAGAUUGGAAUUCCCGGUGUAGCGGUGAAAUGUGUAGAGAUCGGGAGGAACACCGGUGGCGAAGGCGGGUCUCUGGGCAUCUCCUGACGCUGAGGCGCGAAAGCGUGGGGAGCAAACGGG
rnacentral:rRNA from 1 species